rnacentral:rRNA from 1 species
AUUGAACGCUGGCGGCAUGCCUUACACAUGCAAGUCGAACGGCAGCGGACCUUCGGGUGCCGGCGAGUGGCGAACGGGUGAGUAAUGCAUCGGAACGUACCUUUCAGUGGGGGAUAACGUAGCGAAAGUUAGGCUAAUACAGCAUAUUCUGUGAGCAGGAAAGCAGGGGAUCGCAAGACCUUGCGCUGAUUGAGCGGCCGAUGUCAGAUUAGCUAGUUGGUGAGGUAAAGGCUCACCAAGGCGACGAUCUGUAGCGGGUCUGAGAGGAUGAUCCGCCACACUGGGACUGAGACACGGCCCAGACUCCUACGGGAGGCAGCAGUGGGGAAUUCUGGACAAUGGGGGCAACCCUGAUCCAGCCAUGCCGCGUGAGUGAAGAAGGCCUUCGGGUUGUGAAGCUCUUUCGGCCGGGAAGAAAUCGCACAGGCUAAUACCUUGUGCGGAUGACGGUACCGGAAUAAGAAGCACCGGCUAACUACGUGCCAGCAGCCGCCGUAA